rnacentral:lncRNA from 1 species
GCAUCUGCCCUGACAUUCCCCGUUCCCAUGUCUUGCUCAGUCUCCCUUUUCUCGUGGUCAGCCACGAUGCCGGCACUGACGGUAUAAGGCUAUAUAUAAGAAGACACCCAGGGAGGUCGAGUGUAGAAGGAAAAAGAAGGAACGUGGCAACCACCAGCAGCCUCCUCUCUUGUUCCUUGACUCACGGAUGACCUCACCACCCUUCCCGGUCAGCCAGGUCCCAAGCUGGGCAUCAUCUGUGUGUUAGUUAGCUGCUGCUGUGGAACAGACCACCCCUGGGCUAACGGGCUGAAGACAGCAGGUGAUGGUCAUCUCCCAGGGCUCCGAGGGUUCCCUCCGAUAGGUAGUUCUAAUCCGUAGACUCUCAGAGGAUUGCAGCCAGAGGACCGCAGGGGCUGGAGUCCUCCCGAGGCCUGACCGGGCUGGACAUCCAAGGUCGCUUCCUGCACUCACAGGUCUGGUGCCUGCGUUGCAGUGGCUGGAAUAGCUGCGCAGCCAUGUCUCUCUCUCUCCGUGCCACCUCUGCACGUCUACCGUGCGCUUUCUCGCAGCAGAGUGGUCUUGGUUUCGAUUUUUCUCCUCACUGCUGGCUCCCCCCAGAAGGACAUGCUGAAGGACCAAGGCCGGGGCGGUAGGGGUGCGCGCGUGUGUGCGUGUGCGUGCGUGAGAUUUAUGGCUGCUUCUGAUCAAGCCCUAGCGGUCAGGAGGCGUGGCUUUGGUUGCGUUUUAUUGGCUGCAGGGCCAGUCCAGAGUGCGUGUGGGAGGGGCGAAGCCAGCGCUGGAUGCGGGGGGCGUGGCUUGAGGGGCAAGUUGCCGUCUUUGGAGCCUGCCCCGGGAGAGCCUGGUCCGGACUGGAGUCUUGCUCCUGGAGCCCGCUCCCAAGGCUGAGCUUGGGCGCAGGGACGAGGGAGGCAGCAGCGAAGGAAGGAAACUGAGCAGCUAGGACCUGUGGCCCCCACCUUUAGUACUUCAUAUUUACUUAUUUACUGUUUUAGACUUUUGCAAACAGUUAAAUGUAAAUGAAAAAUUCUGAGGCGCACUUGCCAAAAAAGAGACACAGAUGGUCGAUAAGCGAAUGGAAGUACACUGAGCAGCAUCGGUCACUGCGGAAAAGUGCAGGAUGAAGCCACGACGUGGGGUUACCGCUCGGCCCUUGGGAUGACCUAAGUAAGAACAGUGCAUGCGUUCUUGAACCUGGUAGUGUCAGGUGUUCUCAAGCAUGGGACCAACUGGAAUUCACACACAUUGCUGGCGAAAGAGCAAAAUGGUGCAAAUACUUUUGAAAACAGUUUGGUAGUUUCUCAUGAAGUCAAGACGAUGCCAUGAAUCCAGCAAUUUCACUCUCAACUGAAAUUACCCUCGAGAAAGGAAAAGGCACAUCCACACAAAGACCUGUACAUGAAUUUUCCCAGGGGCUUUACUCAUAAUUUUCCCAGAAGCCCAAAGCAAGGGGGAAAAACCCAAACUCAGGUGUCCAUCUAUGAGGGAUUGAAUAAACUAACUGUAGUACGUCUGUACGAUGGCUGUGAUGAGACAGAGUGAACUGUUGAUACACACAGCUUGAGGGAGGAAUCUCAGAAGUAUUAUGCUGAGUAAGAGAAAACAGCCAAAGAGGCUAAUGCUGUGUGAUUCCACUGUGAUUCUCUGGAAAUGCAAAACGGUAGUGACAGAAAGAUCAGUGGCUGCCAGUGGCUGAUGGGGGAGGAAAGGGGUUGAGUACAAAGGGGCACCAGGGAAUUUUGUUGGGGUGACAAAAUGUUAUGGGUUUUUUUUUGUUGUUUUUUUGUUUUGGCUGCGCCUUUGGAGUUCCCGUCGCGGCGCAGUGGUUAACGAAUCCGACUAGGAACCAUGAGGUUGCGGGUUCGGUCCCUGCCCUUGCUCAGUGGGUUAACGAUCCGGCGUUGCCGUGAGCUGUGGUGUAGGUCGCAGAUGUAGCUCGGAUCCCGCGUUGCUGUGGCUCUGGCGUAGGCCGGUGGCUACAGCUCCGAUUCAACCCCUAGCCUGGGAACCUCCAUAUGCCGCGGGAGCGGCCCAAGAAAUAGCAACAACAACAACAACAAAACAAC